rnacentral:rRNA from 1 species
GAUGAACGCUGGCGGCGUGCCUAAUACAUGCAAGUCGAGCGAAUGGAUUAAGAGCUUGCUCUUAUGAAGUUAGCGGCGGACGGGUGAGUAACACGUGGGUAACCUGCCCAUAAGACUGGGAUAACUCCGGGAAACCGGGGCUAAUACCGGAUAAUAUUUUGAACUGCAUGGUUCAAAAUUGAAAGGCGGCUUCGGCUGUCACUUAUGGAUGGACCCGCGUCGCAUUAGCUAGUUGGUGAGGUAACGGCUCACCAAGGCAACGAUGCGUAGCCGACCGGGGAGGGUGAUCGGCCACAGUGGGACUGAGACACGGCCCAGACUCCUACGGGAGGCAGCAGUAGGGAAUCUUCCGCAGUGGACGAAAGUCUGACGGAGCAACGCCGCGUGGGUGAUGAAGGCUUUCGGGUCGUAAAACUCUGUUGUUAGGGAAGAACAAGUGCUAGUUGAAUAAGCUGGCACCUUGACGGUACCUAACCAGAAAGCCACGGCUAACUACGUGCCAGCCGCCGCGGUAA